AGUGAACGCUGGCGGUAGGCCUAACACAUGCAAGUCGAACGGCAGCACAGUAAGAGCUUGCUCUUACGGGUGGCGAGUGGCGGACGGGUGAGGAAUACAUCGGAAUCUACUUUUUCGUGGGGGAUAACGUAGGGAAACUUACGCUAAUACCGCAUACGACCUACGGGUGAAAGCAGGGGAUCUUCGGACCUUGCGCGAUUGAAUGAGCCGAUGUCGGAUUAGCUAGUUGGCGGGGUAAAGGCCCACCAAGGCGACGAUCCGUAGCUGGUCUGAGAGGAUGAUCAGCCACACUGGAACUGAGACAGCGUCGAGACUCCUACGGGAGGCCGCAGUGAGGAAUAUUGGACAAUGGGCGCAAGCCUGAUCCAGCCAUCACGCGUGGGUGAAGAAGGCCUUCGGGUUGUAAAGCCGUUUUGUUGGGAAAGAAAAGCAGCAGGUUAAUACCCCGCUGCUCUGACGGUCCCCAAAGAAUAAGCACCGGCUAACUUCGUG
rnacentral:rRNA from 1 species